AACAUUGAAAAGAAAGGUAUGAAUACUUGAAACAUAUACCAAAGGAAUGGAUCAGAAUAUUUGCAAUAUAUCCAAGAGAAAGGUUUAGGAUACUUGCAGCACAUAUAGAAAAGAAUGGAUCAGAAUAUGCAAUAUAUCCAAAAGCAGGGUGUAGGAUACUUGCCUUAAAUCUGACUCCAGUUUCAUAGCUCAACCUCAUCUUUCAACUUUCACAAUCUAUGCAUAUCAUAGUCUCAACCAUCUCUGGCUAUACCCUAUUCGCCACACCACUUCGCUUACUCGACUCAUUCCUUAUUCGCUUUGCAAUACCAUUCCGACUUUCUGACGUCUUCGAGCGUACACGUCUCGUCCAAAUCCUUUACGAGAAUAAGAUAAUGCUAUAGUCACUAAACAAUAUAUCGCAUAUACAUAUCACGUAUAUCGAUAUCCACUUAUAUACCCCUUUAAACAUAUCACAUACCACGUAACACAUAAGCAUGCUUUGACUCUAACAUAUAAUCAAUCAUAUUCCACAUAACAUAUCACCAAUCAAUUAUCAUAUCAAUCCUUAUCGAAAAUCCGACAUCGUUUCGUCUAUGUAUAAGACUAUCCACCUGUUAUCCUAUCUCAAUCAACACCCAAUCAACCAAUUCCAAUUCCUAUAAUCCAUAUGUCCUUAUCCAAUACUAAUCAAAUCAUGACACUAUGUCAUAUAAAUCAUUUAUCACAUAUCACUUAACACGUAAUCAUCAAUUUAUAGCAAUUAGAUCACAUAUACUCACAUUCUACAUUUUAAACAACACAUGGUCACAUUCUCGACUCAAUCCAAUUAUUAUGUCACAUCAAACUAGACUUUAUAAGCUUUCAUCUCUCUUUCGUUUCACUUGAUUCCGACUUACGGAUCAAAAGUUAUGACCAAAACCGUUUUCUGACUCCGCUCUCAACAUAUAAUACCUUACACCGAUAGCAGACAACACAUUACACAUUAAGUCUCCCAUCCCAAUUGAUGUCAAGUCAAGUCUUGGGUUAAAAAUGAUUUUUCGGGAAUUUUCUGGAAUUUUUAAACAUUUUUCGGAAUUAAAAUCGAUAAAAGAAUCACUUUUCGAAUAAAUAAUCAAGUCCCAAAUACUUGAAAUUGGACUUGAAAUCAUUCAUAAACAAUUAUCGAGCCUUGAAAAUAACUUGGAAAAAUAUUUCAAAGCUCGAAACUAUUUUUCGGAAAUUUUUAAAUCAAAAAGGAUAAUUAAAUCCAAAUAAUU
rnacentral:lncRNA from 1 species